GUCUCUUUGAAAAUUAUUAAUAAAGAGUUGGGCCUGCUCGGUGAGAAGAAAAAUUUAACAGCUGCGGUAUUAUAACUGUACUAAGGUAGCAUAAUAAUUUGCCUUAUAAAUUAAGGCUAGAAUGAAUGGUUUGACGAAAAUUAGACUGUCUUUAUUUUAUUUGUUAGAAAUUAAUUUUUAUAGUGAAAAAGCUUGAAUAAUUUAAGGGGACGAGAAGACCCUAUUGAGCUUUGUUUAUUAAUAUUUAAAUAUAAAUAUAUAAUUUAUAUUAUGAAAAUUAUGUUGUAUAUGUAUAUAUAUUUAAUUGGAUUUAAUUUUGAUUGGGGUGAUCAAGGAAUAAAGAUAAAGUAACUUCCUUAAAAUUAAUGAUUGUUUUUAUGGAGUAAUAAACCAAGUUUUUUGCUUAUAAGAUAAGUUACCAUAGGGGUAACAGCGUAAUUUUUUUUGAGAGUUCAUAUUGAAAAAAGAGAUUGCGACCUCGAUGUUGGAUUAAAAAUUACCUUAAGGUGUAGAGGCUUUGUUAGGUGAAUCUGUUCGAUUUUUAAAAUUUU
rnacentral:rRNA from 1 species